AUGAAAAAAAAGACCCAUCUCCCGACUGGCAGGCGCACUAAAGGAGCGGAAAACUCCUUUCGGUUUUUUUUUUUUGGGGGGGGGGGUUCGAUUCGGUUUCACUCAAUGUAUAUAUCAGCCUCCUUCCCCUCUCCUUGUGGGGGGUGGCAGCCGCUCUGGACCCCGAGCCGAGACACGCAGGACAAACUCAGUCUCUCCUUUCGGUCUUUUCUGCCUCUUUCAAAGAAAGAUUUCCCUUUCUCUGCUUCAUCUGUUCACAUACUCCAGCAAACAGUCGCUCACGCUGACCAUCAUGCACGACAAAUGCUGCGAUUCCUUGUUAAUAUCAGGAUGGGGAAUAAUAAUCAUCAAGAUCAUCAAGGACAUCAACCACCCGAGCCACUGCCUGUUCACCCCGCUAUCAUCCAGAAGGUGAGGUCAGUACAGGUGCAUCAAAGCUGGGACCGAGAGACUGAAAAACAGCUUCUAUCUCAAGGCCAUCAGACUGUUAAACAGCCACCACUAACACUGAGUGGCUGCUGCCAACACACUGACACUGACUCAACUCCAGCCACUUUAAUAAUGGGAAUUGAUGGGAAAUGAUGUAAAUAUAUCACUAGCCACUUUAAACAAUGCUACCUUAUAUAAAUGUUACUUACCCUACAUUAUUCAUCUCAUAUGCAUACGUAUAUACUGUACUCUAUAUCAUCGACGGUAUCCUUAUGUAAUACAUGUAUCACUAGCCACUUUGUUUACAUACUCAUCUCAUUUGUACAUACUGUACCCAAUACCAUCUACUGUAUCUUGCCUAUGCUGCUCUGUACCAUCACUCAUUCAUAUAUCCUUAUGUACAUAUUCUUUAUCCCCCUACACUGUGUACAAGACAGUAGUUUUGGAAUUGUUAGUUAGAUUACUUGUUAUUACUGCAUUGUCGGAACUAGAAGCACAAGCAUUUCGCUACACUCGCAUUAACAUCUGCUAACCAUGUGUAUGUGACAAAUAAAAUUUGAUUUGAUUUGAUUUAAUCNNNNNNNNNNAUGGGGAUGAGGUAGGUAGAUUGGGUGGGCUAUUUACAGAUGGACUAUGUACAGCUGCAGCGAACGGUUAGCUGCUCAGAUAGCAGAUAUUUAAAGUUGGUGAGGGAGAUAAAAGUCUCCAGAAGUUUGCAAGUUCAAACCCCCGAGCUGACAAGGUACAAAUCUGUCAUUCUGCCCCUGAACAGGCAGUUAACCCACUGUUCCUAGGCCGUCAUUGAAAAUAAGAACUUGUUCUUAACUGACUUGCCUAGUUAAAUAAAGGUAAAAUAAAAAUAAAUAAUUGCAAUCCAGGCCACAGGUCUGUGGGGUCAGGUCUGUGGGGUCAGGUCUGUGGGGUCAGGUCUGUGCAUCUUAGCAUCUGUAAGAGGAGGGAGAGGAAGGAGUAGGAGAGGAAGGAGUAGGAGGAGACGGGGGAGGAGGAGAGGAAGGAGUAGGAGGAGAGGAAGAGUAGGAGGAGGAGAGGAAGGAGUAGGAGGAGAUGGGGGAGGAGGAGAGGAAGGAGUA
rnacentral:lncRNA from 13 species